CCAGAACGAAAAUAAAUACAUAAAACAGAACAAACGAGUGGUACUUAUCGGGCUGUAACUGGGCUAUACUGUUGGGCGAUCCAACGCUAUAAGGCGCUCGGCCGAAACUUAACGAAACUGAUUCAGUGAGUAAAAAAAAUAAAAAAAAUCAGAUCUAACAUAGGCGAUUAGAUCUUGAUCUGACGGCCAAGGGGUGUUUGCUGCGGGGCUAAACAAACGAACGCCCGCAACAUAAAAGAUAAUGAUUCAAAGAAAAAAAGAACCUAGAUCUAAUCAGGACUGUUGCUAUGAGAACUAAUGGACGGGAGAUGGCGACGGCGUCUUACAGCGGUGGCCUCGCCGGCAGGGAAGAAGACAGCGGCGGAGCGGCGUCGGACGCGAAGAGGCGGCAGCUCCAGGGCUCGUCGACGUCGAGCGAAUUCUUGGGGAGGCUCGACGCGGGGUGGUGCGUCCGAUGAUGGAGGCCGCGUCGGUCUAGGACGACGGUGGCGACGAGAGCGAACUUCAGGAGAGCUUGGGAAGCUUGGUCCGGCACGAGUCUGCGAGAUUGAAAAGGUCAGGGAGAUGCGGCGCAUUGAGGAGGAGCGAACAGAGGAGCGGAGGGACUCGGGGAACCUUCAGUGGUGACCAAAUCGGCCGGCGAUAGAAGCUUCGGGCGAGAACUCCGGCGAGAUCGAUCGGGUGCUCUAGGGUACGGGAGCUGCCGGUUUUUGCGGAAAUCAGCAGAGGAGAGGAAGAGCAUUAUUUAUAGGGAGGCGGGCGUGCGCAAGGCACAAGAAAUCAGGUCGAAACAAUGAGGAUUUGAUAUGGAACAGGGGCUGCCGUGCGUGAGGAACCAUCUGUCCCAAUUCUUGCGCAAGAGGUUGAAGAAGG
rnacentral:lncRNA from 1 species